ACUCUCCCUCCCGACAUGGGUGCUGGUGAGGCUUGUGGCUUCACUGGAGAAUAGGGAAGACGGUGCGAAUCCGUCACGGUCCCGCCGCUGUAUCCGGGGACGACAUUCACGUUGAGCCACUGCGCUGUAAAGCGUGGGAAGGUGUGAUUGGUCGAAUGAUCCGGGAGUCAGAAGACCUGCCCAGAUGUCAUUUUGUUG
rnacentral:ncRNA from 2 species